ACGGGAGGCAGCAGUGGGGAAUAUUGCGCAAUGGGGGGAACCCUGACGCAGCAACGCCGCGUGAAGGAAGAAGGCUUUCGGGUCGUAAACUUUUGUCUGGAGGGACGAUAAUGACGGUACCUCCGGAGGAAGCCACGGCUAACUACGUGCCAGCAGCCGCGGUAAUACGUAGGUGGCGAGCGUUGUCCGGAAUUACUGGGUGUAAAGGGCGCGUAGACGGGCAUGUAAGUCAGAUGUGAAAUACCGGAGCUUAACUCCGGAGCUGCAUUUGAAACUGCAAGUCUUGAGUGCAGGAGAGGGAAGCGGAAUUCCUAGUGUAGCGGUGAAAUGCGUAGAUAUUAGGAGGAACACCAGUGGCGAAGGCGGCUUUCUGGACUGUAACUGACGUUGAGGCGCGAAAGCGUGGGUAGCAAACAGGAUUAGAUACCCUGGUA
rnacentral:rRNA from 1 species